ensembl:lncRNA
AUGUGUUUGUGUAUUUGGGGCCGUUUGUUACCUUGUGAGCAGUGGAGCAGUGAUGGACUCAGCUGGUAUACGGGUCAUUCUGGCCAAGGUGAGACGUGGCGCUGUAUACUUGAACUUCAAAGGCAUUGUGCUGGUCCAACUCCGCGGGGCGUCUCCUUCAUGACUUCAGUCAACUUCCACACACACACAUACACCUUUAAUGUGAGCUCUGCAAUACCUACUCAACCCCGAUUGAGUCAAUACGCCCUCUUUUUGUUCUGUGAUAGAGGGAUGUGGAAAUGAAAGUGUAUGAUGCAAAAGCAGUGCAGAAGAGUGGAAACACACUUGUUUAGUUAGAUUAACUCUGAGAUCAGGAGCCCAGUCUGAGACAGUUUAGAUUCGCAAGGAACAUGUACUUGGAGGAUUUUUUUGUUUCUUUUUAAGUUGUUUAUAAUGUCAAGUAUAUCUCAUGCAAAGGCAUGGACUUUUAGAAGGAAAACUUUGCAAUGCUUUGAUUUUCUUUUCUCAGUGACAUGCAUAAUGCUUUCAUCUUUUGGUAGAGUAAACAAGUCAUCAAAGUAAAAGGCUGAAUAUCUUAUAAAACAUUUCUUAGGUAUCUAAGCAUACAAUUUUUUUCUCUCUCUAUCUAUCUCUCUCUAUCUCUCUCUUUUUUAUGUUUUAGAAUCAACAAAGUAACAACUGCAAAUCCUUGCAACAACAACAAACUAUUUCUGCAGUGACUCAAUCCAUCCAUAUCCAAAAAUGAGUGCAUGUCCUUAUUGAAACUUAGGAGACAAUCAAACUGUAGGCAAAAGUGGUCCAAAUAAUUUUUGUCCUCUUAUAUGAACAGCACAAACCAUGUGGAAUGUGAUCUUUUCAAUUCUAAUUU